rnacentral:rRNA from 1 species
ACGCUCGACACCUACGGGAUGCAGCAGUGGGGAAUAUUGCACAAUGGGGGAAACCCUGAUGCAGCGACGCCGCGUGAAGGAAGAAGUAUCUCGGUAUGUAAACUUCUAUCAGCAGGGAAGAAAGUGACGGUACCUGACUAAGAAGCCCCGGCUAACUACGUGCCAGGCCGGCCGGACGGUAAUCUGAGGGCCGGGUCGUGGACGAAGGC